rnacentral:rRNA from 1 species
AUGCCCUCUGGCGGUGGUGGGCGCGACCGCGACCGCGACGACGACGAUCAUAGAUACCAGCGGCGCACCUGGAAGGACACCCUCCUCAGCCUGGGGCGGGCAAAUGCUCCGGCACCCCCUGCCAAGGAUCAGCAGCGCAGCCGGACCCCGGUCUCUCGCCAUCGGCAGGGCGCGCCGCACGGGAGGCACAUGUGCAACGACAAGGCACUGCCCCAUGCCCCUGGCAAGAGCAAGGAACCAGCGCAGCGCACCGCUUCGACAUGCCCGUCACAGCAAAAGAGAGAGGAGCCUGCGCCGAGUAGGCGACGCCAUGACGGAGAAGGCCCAAGCAGCGGCGUCUCCCUCCUCGCCCCGCCUCGCCAGCUCGCCAAGGACACCGCACCAGCCCCUGCCAUGGACCCGGUGGCCGAGUUCUUCGAGGGCGCCCAAAGCAACCUGCCUCCACCUCCCUGCUUCGACGCCCAGGCACCGGCGAUCGAUCAGAUGAUCGCCGCCAAGCUGGCCAAGCCGCUCGCCUUCGACGCUGAUGAAGAGGGGGGCAACGGCGACUCCCUGGACAUGGGGCCUGCUCUCUUCCUAGCACGCCACACCCCCCAGGCGGCGGCCACACAUGCGGUGCAGUUAGGAGAAGUCACUCAGAAGGUCACAGAGAUGCAGCUUCAGGGCGAUACCGAUGAUGCAGAACCGCCCCUCUUCGCGCCCCUGCCCCAAGCGGUGGUCGGACGGCAUCCGGCCAGACACAAGACCCCCGCAAGACCAGGGUGGUGCCAAAGCCGGCUCGGCAGAGCCUCAGGCGGGCCAACAAUCCCUCGUCGGUGCCAGUCUCCCAGAGGGCGACGCUGCGUCUGGUGUACGGGCUUGGGAUCCUCGGCCCAAAAGAGAAGAUGA